CGUGUAGGCGGUGCGGUAAGUUGGGCGUGAAAUCCCCGAGCUUAACUCGGGUGGGCCGUUCAAGACUGCCGUGCUAGGGUGCGGGAGAGGGAAGUGGAGUUUCCGGUGUAGCGGUGAAAUGCGUAGAUAUCGGGAGGAACACCUGCGGCGAAGGCGGCUUCCUGGACCGUAACCGACGCUGAGGCGCGAAAGCUAGGGGAGCAAACAGGAUUAGAUACCCUGGUAGUCCUAGCCCUAAACGAUGAGCACUGGGUGUGGCCCCUCACGAGGCCGUGCCGAAGCUAACGCAUUAAGUGCUCCGCCUGGGGAGUACGGUCGCAAGGCUGAA
rnacentral:rRNA from 1 species